CAAAGGUUUUAUUUAAGCUUAAAAAUUAUAUUAAUUUAAGAUUUACAUGUAAAUUUUGAUUUUUAGAUAAUUUGUUAUACAGUAAUUAUUAUUAAAAAUUUUGUUAUUAAAGAUUUGGUUAUAAAUUUUAGUUUUGACUAAUUUUGUGCCAGCAGUUGCGGUUAUACAAUUAAAGCUAUAUAAUUAUAUUAAUUAUUAUUAAAUUUUGUUGUUAAUUGAAUUUUAGGUAAUAUUAGGUGAAAUUCUAUUAUUUAAUAAAUUUUGUUUUAUAAAUGAAUCUGAGAACUCUUAUUUGUAAACAAGGAUUAGAUACCCUUUUAUUUUAGAUGUAAAUUUUAUGAUUGAUUAGUAAUAGAUAUAUACUCGAAAUUUAAAAAUUUUGGCGGUAUUUUAGACUAGUUAGAGGAAUCUGUCCUGUAAUUGAUAUUCCACGAUUAAAAGUACUUAAAUUUGUUUGUAUAUCGUCGUUGAUUAAAAAUUUUGUGAAAAGAUAAUUUUUAAGAUUUUUAAUUUGAAGAUAAUUCAGAUCAAGAUGCAGCUUAUUUAAGAUUGUGAUGGAUUACGUUAAUAUAAUUUUAAAAAAUUUAUAAAAAUAAAUUUAUAUUAGGAUUUAAAAGUAAUUUAAAUUUUUUAAUUUAAGUGAUUAAUAGCUCUUGAAUAUGUACAUAUUGCCCGUCGCUUUCAUUAUUAAUUUGAAAUAAGUCGUAACAUAGUAGAUUAACUGGAAGGUGAAUCUAGAAAGUC
rnacentral:ncRNA from 1 species